ACACACACACAUAUAUACAUAUAUAAGAUAUAUAUAUAUAUAUACACACAUAUAUAUGUAUAUGUAUGUGUGUGC